AUUUCUGUCUUCCACUGUAUCCAUUUCUACUCCUUCUCUAUCUUCUAUUUCAUGUUUUUUGAUUUCUUCGUUUCUUGGGUUCCGAUUUUGAUUGUUCUUUCCCAGGAUUGAACCGAUGAUGAGUUCUUUUGUGAAAGAAGUUCAAAUUCAAGCCCGUAUUUUGGAUUGGCAACUCGGAAGGCAUAUCCGAUUGGAAUAUGCAACCGGUUUUUGCAGCCAUACCAGUGUUUGAUCCGCUUUUCCUGAGCCUCCCACCUCAAUCUUUUUGUCGACUUACCCUCUUGCAAGAGCACCCGUCACCACCUCCUUUUAUGUUUAUCGUGAUGAUAAGAUUCUCUGAAAGGCGCUUUUCUCUUCUUCUUGGAGAUACUGGAAAUUGAAUUCCGUUAUUCCGAUUGUCGACCACCACUGUUCAUGUUAAAUGUAAUAAAUCCAUCACCUUCUUUGGUUCUAUUUCUAAUUUGAACCUUCUAUGCAAGAAGGAUUUAUGUUUUUUUAGAUUUUGACAAUAUUCAGUAGAUAAGUAGAUAACUGGAUUGAAAUAUUUGUGCUUAUUUGUUUUUAUUGCUCUACCGAGCCAUUUGAUGAUGAAAUUCAAAAGCGAGUUUCAUGAAGCACAACAAGUGUUUGAUGAACUGCUACAAUCAAAUCUUAUUUCUUA